GGAGGCGGGUGUCUUCCUCAGGAAUUUGAGCUGGGGAUCUGCAUCCUGGCCAUUGCAGUCCUUUAGCAUCCUCGCCGAGCCCUGAGCGCGCUGGAGGCUCGCAGGCUGCGCCCUCCCAGGGCUGAUGCCGCGUCCUGCUCCGCUGUUCUGGGACGUCGGGGACAAAAGUGGAGGAGACGGGAGAGCCCGGGCAGAAAAAGCAGGACGCGCGUCCCAGCUGCCGUGAAGAUGCCAAACCCACCAAGACUGCGCUGUCCCACCUCUCCCAGGCUGCCCUGGGAGUGCGGGUGACCCGCGAGCGCCAGAAUCUUCCCUUAAGGUGGAGCCACAGCGCCACCUCGCGAUCCUCCAGCUUCCCUCCCUCAUGGCCACGGAAGGCUGGCCCUUUCUGGUCCAAGCCCCCAAGGUCCCACACUUACUGGUUUUCCAUGCACUUUCAUUAUUUCCCUUUCUCUCUCUCCAAUGUUCCCUUAUCCUGAGUAUUGAGGUCCCCAAACACGCCUUUCCACCCCACGUUUGGACAUAGCCGGAAUGUCUACCUCCUUCUCCAUCCGGUGAAGCACUGCUC
rnacentral:lncRNA from 1 species